UCCGUAGGCGGUGCGGCAAGUCGAUAGUGAAAUCCCUGGGCUUAACUCAGGGGCUGCUAACGAAACUGCCGUGCUAGAGUGUGAGAGAGGCGAGUGGAAUUACGGGUGUAGCGGUGAAAUGCGUAGAUAUCCGUAGGAACAUCCGAGGCGAAAGCGGCUCGCUGGAUCACAACUGACGCUGAGGGACGAAAGCUAGGGGAGCAAACAGGAUUAGAUACCCUGGUAGUCCUAGCCCUAAACCAUCAGGACUUGGGGUUUGCCCUGUACGGGGCAAGUCCCGUAGCUAACGCGUUAAGUCCUGCGCCUGGGGAGUACGGUCGCAAGGCUGAA
rnacentral:rRNA from 1 species